rnacentral:rRNA from 1 species
UACGGAGGGUGCGAGCGUUGUCCGGAUUCAUUGGGCGUAAAGAGCUCGUAGGCGGUUCGGUAAGUCAGGUGUGAAAACUCCAGGCUCAACUUGGAGACGCCACCUGAUACUGUCGUGGACUAGAGUCCGGUAGGGGAGCAUGGAAUUCCUGGUGUAGCGGUGAAAUGCGCAGAUAUCAGGAGGAACACCUGUGGCGAAGGCGGCCGACUGGGCCGACCUGACGCUGAGGCGCGAAGGCGUGGGGAGCGAACGGG